rnacentral:rRNA from 1 species
CGUUCUCGUUAGAUCACUGAAGUCAAGCAUCAUUGGGCGCUUUCAGUACUUGGGUGGGUGACCACCUGGGAACACCGCGUGCUGUU